rnacentral:rRNA from 1 species
CGAUACGUCCGGCCUUGAACACACCGCCCGUCACACCACGAAAGUCGGCAACACCCGAAGCCGGUGGCCUAACCCGUAAGGGGAGGAGCCGUCGAAGGUGGGGUCGGUGAUUGGGGUG